rnacentral:rRNA from 1 species
GUCUACAGCCAUGCUACCCUGAAUGCGCUCAAUCUCGUCUAAUCGCAGAAGCUAAGCAGGGUUGGGCCUGGUUAGUACUUGGAUAGGAGACCACCUAGAAAUACCAAGUGCUGUAGGUG